ensembl:snRNA U6 U6 spliceosomal RNA
UGUUGAUCUCAGCCACACAAACACAAAUUUGAACCAAGAGAGAUCAGCAUGGCCCCAGUGUAAGAAUGACAUGCAAAUUCCUGUUUGACAAUUAUUU